UUUAUUAGAUAAAAAACCAAUACAUGCUUUUAAAGUAUGGAAUUUGGUGAUUUACAAUAACUUAGCAAAUCGCAUAGUGAAAACAGGCGAUAAAUCAUUCAAGUUUCUGACCUAUCAGCUUUCGACGGUAUGGUAUUGGCUUACCGUGGCAGUGACGGUUAACGGGGGAUUAGGGUUCGAUUCCGGAGAGGGAGCCUGAGAAACGGCUACCACAUCUAAGGAAGGCAGCAGGCGCGCAAAUUACCCAAUUCUAACAGCAUAAGAGAGGUAGUGACAAGAAAUAACAAUACAAGGCAGUUAAAAUGCUUUGUAAUUGGAAUGAUAGAAAUUUAAACACUUUUUAAAGUAUCAAUUGGAGGGCAAGUCUGGUGCCAGCAGCCGCGGUAAUUCCAGCUCCAAUAGCGUAUAUUAAAAUUGUUGCAGUUAAAAAGCUCGUAGUUGAAUUUCUGCUAAAAAUAACCGGUCUGCUUUUAAUAAAGGUGGUAUCUUGGUGUGUUUUUAGCAAUAAUGUCCUUUGAAAUGUUUAUUACUUCAUUGUAAUAAAUUAUUUUCAGGAUUUUUACUUUGAGAAAAUUAGAGUGUUUCUAGCAGGCUAACGCUUUGAAUACUGCAGCAUG
rnacentral:rRNA from 1 species